rnacentral:rRNA from 1 species
CCUACGGAGGCAGCAGUGGGGAAUAUUGGACAAUGGGCGAAAGCCUGAUCCAGCCAUGCCGCGUGUGUGAAGAAGGCCUUCGGGUUGUAAAGCACUUUCAGUGGGGAAGAAAGCCUUGGGGCUAAUACCCUCGAGGAAGGACAUCACCCACAGAAGAAGCACCGGCUAACUCCGUGCCAGCAGCCGCGGUAAUACGGAGGGUGCGAGCGUUAAUCGGAAUUACUGGGCGUAAAGCGCGCGUAGGCGGUCUGAUAAGCCGGUUGUGAAAGCCCCGGGCUCAACCUGGGAACGGCAUCCGGAACUGUCAGGCUAGAGUGCAGGAGAGGAAGGUAGAAUUCCCGGUGUAGCGGUGAAAUGCGUAGAGAUCGGGAGGAAUACCAGUGGCGAAGGCGGCCUUCUGGACUGACACUGACGCUGAGGUGCGAAAGCGUGGGUAGCAAACAGGAUUAGAUACCCGGGUAGU